UACGUAGGUGGCAAGCGUUGUCCGGAUUUACUGGGCGUAAAGAGCGCGCAGGCGGUCGUUCAAGUCGAGUGUGAAAGCCCCCGGCUCAACUGGGGAGGGUCACUCGAUACUGAUCGACUCGAAGGCAGAAGAGGGAAGCGGAAUUCCCGGUGUAGUGGUGAAAUGCGUAGAUAUCGGGAGGAACACCAGUGGCGAAGGCGGCUUUCUGGUCUGCUCUUGACGCUGAGGAGCGAAAGCCAGGGGAGCAAACGGG
rnacentral:rRNA from 1 species